CCUACGGGAGGCAGCAGUGGGGAAUAUUGGACAAUGGGCGAAAGCCUGAUCCAGCAAUGCCGCGUGAGUGAUGAAGGCCUUAGGGUCGUAAAGCUCUUUUACCAGGGAUGAUAAUGACAGUACCUGGAGAAUAAGCUCCGGCUAACUCCGUGCCAGCAGCCGCGGUAAUACGGAGGGAGCUAGCGUUGUUCGGAAUUACUGGGCGUAAAGCGUGCGUAGGCGGUUAUUCAAGUCAGAGGUGAAAGCCCGGGGCUCAACCCCGGAACGGCCUUUGAAACUAGAUAACUAGAAUCUUGGAGAGGUCAGUGGAAUUCCGAGUGUAGAGGUGAAAUUCGUAGAUAUUCGGAAGAACACCAGUGGCGAAGGCGACUGACUGGACAAGUAUUGACGCUGAGGUACGAAAGCGUGGGGAGCAAACAGGAUUAGAUACCCUGGUAGUCCACGCCGUAAACGAUGAUAACUAGCUGUCCGGACACUUGGUGUUUGGGUGGCGCAGCUAACGCAUUAAGUUAUCCGCCUGGGGAGUACGGUCGCAAGAUUAAAACUCAAAGGAAUUGACGGCUGAGAGUUGUCGAGGACGACGACGAGGGAGAGG
rnacentral:rRNA from 1 species